UUGCUUCUUGCAUGGUGGUGGAAAUCCAUAACGUACUGGAAGACGUGGGACACCUAAACAAGAGGCUUUU
rnacentral:ncRNA from 1 species